CGUAGGGGCAAGCGUUGUCCGGAAUCAUUGGGCGUAAAGCGCGUGUAGGCGGCCAGGUAAGUCCGUUCUGAAAGCCCGGGGCUCAACCCCGGGAGGCGGAUGGAUACUGCUUGGCUCGAGUCCGGAAGAGGCGAGUGGAAUUCCCGGUGUAGCGGUGAAAUGCGCAGAUAUCGGGAGGAACACCAAUGGCGAAGGCAGCUCGCUGGGACGGUACUGACGCUGAGACGCGAAAGCGUGGGGAGCAAACAGGAUU
rnacentral:rRNA from 1 species